GGGCUCGCUGCGGCAGCACAUACGCUGAAAUUGGCGCGAUACAGAGAUUAGCAUGGUCCCUGAGCAAGGAUGGCACUCUUAUUGCCGAAUAGUUUCCUGUCCUA
ensembl:snRNA U6 U6 spliceosomal RNA